UUAUUAAGUUAUAAUAAGAUGACAUUUUUUACAGAGUAAAGUUUGGUAAAGUGUACAAGUCCAAAGCCGAAGCCUUGUUCUUGACAGACAGUUCACAGGUGUUAAGGAUGUGAUUCCACAGCAUGAGCACGAGGGCCCAUGCUGCACUCCCCGAAGGAAGAAAUUUGAUUCACUAAUGAUCCUUCCGCAGGUUCACCUACGGAAA
rnacentral:misc_RNA from 1 species